CAGCCCAGAGCCCGACGCGGGGCUCGAACUCACGGACCGCGAGAUCGUGACCUGGCUGAAGUCGGACGCUUAACCGACUGCGCCACCCAGGCGCCCCUGGGUUGAAGAGUUUUGAUUGCAUCCAAUAGGAACAGAGAAUCACUGAGCACAGAGCAGAUUUUCAAGGAAAGUUCAUACCUAGACCUACUCGGGGCCCAACCCAAACUGUCACUGAGUUUUCCCCUCAAGCCUGGCUGAUUCUGUCUGGGAAGCUCCAGGAAGUCUUGAAAAGAACUUCACAGAGGCCGACAGUUGAGGACGGUUGACCGAACGGGCUGAACCUAGAGAAAGGAGCGAGCUGGGAAGAUCCUCCCUUAUUGUCAGAAUAUGCGGGAAAUCUCCAAAAUGGACGGCACCAAUUUCAGCUGCAGAAAACAGCGUCACUGAAGUUCUCAAAAAUAGAUGAACUGUUCCUUAAUCUACGAGGUCCGGGAGAGGUCUCAGUUUGUGGACUGCCCAUGACUGUCUUGCUACUUGGAGUCUGUCCUGAUGCUUCACAGAUGUUGAAGAUAAACCGAGGGGACCUCUCAGGCAUUAAAAAUUGUGGUGCAAAUCUAAGUGUUUCUGAUCUUAGAUUCAAACAAGGGAGAUUCAGGAAAGCUGAUGACUUCCAGUCUUGCCCACAAACGGAUGUGGCUCCCAUGCCAAGAUGGGAAUAGACAUGGAGUCGUUACAUUCGAGACCACAUUUCUGACAACCAGCUUCCCCAUGCCUGGCCCAUGAGACGUACACAAAUGUUCAUCGUAUUAAAGAAGAUUCAGAAGGAAUCUUGAA